UCCAAAUGAUACUUCUUCUAACAUUGCUGCACUGUUGGCCAAUAUUGCUGCACUGUUGGCAACAGUGCAGCAAUGUUAGAAGAAGUAUCAUUUGGAA
rfam:Strigamia maritima strain Brora ctg7180001231325, whole genome shotgun sequence.